CAACUUCCUGACAGGCAGCUUGAAAACUCCAGGAGGGAGCAGCGUGGGCAUGCUGGACUUGGGUGGAGGAUCCACUCAGAUCGCCUUCCUGCCACGCGUGGAGGGCACCCUGCAGGGCUCCCCACCCGGCUACCUGACGGCACUGCGGAUGUUUAACAGGACCUACAAGCUCUAUUCCUACAGCUACCUUGGGCUCGGGCUGAUGUCGGCACGCCUGGCGAUCCUGGGCGGCGUGGAGGGGCAGCCUGCGGCAAGCCUGCACGAGCUGUGUGCUGCCAGAGUGUCAGAGGUCCUUCAAAACAGAGUACACAGGACGGAGGAAGUGAAGCAUGUGGACUUCUAUGCUUUCUCCUACUAUUACGACCUUGCAGCUGGUGUGGGACUCAUAGAUGCGGAGAAGGGAGGCAGCCUGGUGGUGGGGGACUUCGAGAUCGCAGCCAAGUACGGUGAGUGAUGCUGUGGGGGCCAUCUCAGCAGGGGUAGGCGCCCCGUGAUGCUCGUGACGCAGGCGCUGGCCCUGACUCUCCUGGGUGUAGCCCCUCCUAAACAAUGGCCACAGGCAGGGGCCUCGGCCCCAGCUAAGAAAGGACCACCGUCCUCAUCCCACCCUCAUGGAGUCAUGAGGAACUGGGUCCCUCGAUUCCACUUCCUCUGAUGCCAUUUUACUGCUACUAGGGUAACCCCAAGAGUGAUUUCCCUUGGGAUGUCCCAAUAAGUUCAUGAUUGUCACACAACCCUUAAGAAGCCGAGGCCCUACAGAGUGGAGCCUGGGAUGUGGGGUGGAGGGCUGUCCCCAGGGUUGCAGAUGACUAGCCCAGCAGACCCUGUGCCACACACUAUGCCUUUCCACUGUCUCCUUCACGCCUGGCUCAGCAGCUAAGCCUUGGUGAACAUCUCCUGCUCUUGGUUGCCCUUCCCAACGUGUGGAUCCAAAGAGCUCAACUUUGUACAUCUUUCCAGAAAAAGUACUACCCUUCCCCUCCCCCAAAAG
rnacentral:sRNA from 1 species